ensembl:lncRNA
UGAAGCAAUGCUUAUCAGAGCUGUAUUUAAGCAGUUUGAGAUGACUGUGUACAGUGUUUCUCCACAUACAAUCACAGAACUGUUCUCAGCUGAACUCUGAAGCACAGGGUGUUCACUCCUGCAUCCCAUCUAGACUUGGUCUGGCACUUAAGGCUCAUUCCCAGUGUGCCCACAGUAGCUUUCUCCCUAGAGUUUAAUACUGAACGUGGAUGACUGGUCCUACCAGAGCUGGGUUGUGGAGGAAGAUUCCAGCUAGCUAAAAUUCCACUUGCAGAAGAAUGCAACAAAUUCUCUUCUACUGACUAAGUAUUAUUUUCAUAGAAUUUAGUUUUGGAGCACAUUCUGAAGUACAUAACUAAGUAGCAUAUUUAUUAUUCAUAAAAAUGGACUUACCAUUUCUGCAUUUAUAGAAAAUAGGCAAAGAUACUUAUGUACUGCAGUUGUUUAAGAAGAUUGUAAUUGUUACUGAUAUUUCUUUUAACUUCUCACCACCUCAAGUCUGUUGACUGUAUCCAGGACCACCAUCUGACAGGAUUCUACUUUUGUACAUGUUUACUUUGUUGGUGAUCUAGUCUUCUAUGCAUAUCUAUGUAUUUGUAUAUGUUUACUUUGUUGGUGAUCUAGUCUUCUAUGUAUAUCUAUGCCAUUAAUUUAAGCAACAAUUUUGUUCUCAAGAGCUGCUGAAUGUAGUCUGGCUUGAGAAAGGAUUACAUAUAAAGAUCAAGUGUGUUCUCUAUAUGCUGUCAAAUAGCAUUUGCCUCAUCCCAAAUUCUGUUAUUUACUUCCAGAACUGGAAGAGGGUAGAUUUAGACUACAUAUUAGGAAGAAAUUCUUUACUGUGAGGGUGAUGAGACACUGGAACAGGUUUCCCAGAGAAGCCGUUGAUGCUGCACCCUGGAAGCAUUCAAGGCCAGGUUGGAUGGGGCUUUGAGCAACCUGGUCUAGUGGGAGGUGAUCCUGCCUAUAGGAGGGGGGUUGGAACUACAUGAUCUUAAAGGUCUCUUCCAACCUAAACUAUUCUAUGAUUCUAUGAUUCUUUGAUUUUGUUGAUGAGAUAUAGACCAUAUUCUUGAAAAUUUAUUUUAAAUUUGUGAUUCUGUAAUUAUGUAAUUUGUCUCCAUUUGUUAAGUUUCCUCACAGACACACUAUGUCCUGUAGAAAUAAUAAUCUGUAAAUAGAGGUUGCCACAUCAAGUACAGAAAAUGUCAUAAUUGCAUGGAUUACUUCACUGUUGAUGUGAAACAAUAUUUUUAAAGUAGGCUUUUAAUACUUUUCUUUUUCUGAUAAAAAGAAAAAGAAGUAUAGAAGAAAACCAGACAUAUCAGGAAAACUGAUUCAAUGGAAGCCCUAGAGUAUCUGUCUGAAGACAGGCAUGGAAUUAGAAUCAUGGAAAGGUCCUCAUGCCUUUAACAGCCAAUUGAGCAAGACAACAAUCUAUCAUGAACCUGCAUCUCUGGUAUAACUUUUGAUGAAAACAUUGCUGUUUAAGCUGUUUAUCUUUUAUUUUGGGGGAAAUUAAUCUAUUUUCAUUUUUAUUCAGAAAAAAACCUACACAUUUGGAUUUACUCCUGUAGCAGUACAUGCAAAAUGCAAUCCAGAUACUUACUGUUACUGUCUUGAUAAUACAGAAUCCCAAGCUUGAUUUUUUAUCUGUUCAGAGGUGGGACCAUCCAAAAUAUAUAGCCAUCCAAAACAUACAUUUCUGAGGAUUAUUCUAGCCCUGGUAGUAAGAGCCAGGGUGAAAACUUUGCCAACAUAACUCACCACAGUCAGAACCACAAUCUACUCUUUUUUAGCAGUGUAGGGGAAGAGAGAUAUCUCUGCUUCUUGUUAUAAAUUAACCUUUAUCAUACUUUAAUUUUCCUGGCAUGCCUGCCUCCAACAUAACACACAAGAUGGAUAGUAAAGAGUGUGCUUUGCAGCCCUAGCAUGAAAGUAAAGAGCUCUUGGUAUUUAUUACCUCUUGCACUGCAGUAGCCGGGAAAAGACAACAUCUGCUUCUAAGCUCUCAUUAACUGCAUUUUCACUUGUGCUCUGUAUUUUUGUAUAUAGAGAAAUGAUAGGUGGCCUGUAAUUGCAACCUGCUCAGAGCAAGUAAGUCAAAUGGUAAGGUCAAAACCUUCAUUUUUUCUGUUUCUGCAGACAUCCUCAUAAUAAACAGCAGAGAGCAUUCUCAAUGCUUUGUCAGUUUUCUUGUUGCCUGUCAUUCAGGAGCCCACCGACUGCUGCAGCAGUGCAGUCUCAGAAGCUGAGGCAUACUCAUAGGAAAAAAGCAGCAAACUAAAGCACUGCACAACUCAUUUGUUACUUGCUGCUUGCUAGAGGAAUACAAUGAUGACUGAUGUAAAAAGCCCUGAUAUUCUGCACAUUUCUUAUUUAUUCUUUUAUGUAAACACAGGUGUCCUCUCCUGGUGAUACCAGCAUUCAAAGGGUGAGAACAAACACAAGACAAAUGAAAUCCAAAUAGUUGCUGUCUGUGGUGGUGUACCUUUAACCCUUACUCAGUCUAGCUUUUUAAUCACUCACAGUGGCAGAGUAUUAAAUACAAGUGCUUACUGAAGUUAAAAAAAAACAAGUGUUGCACUCUUGAUUUUUCAAACUCAGACAAGGGAUCCAAUUGCUGUCAGCACACAGUAUCUCUGUAACAAUAGAAAAGAAAGUGAUGAACAAUAUAGGAACAGGAUGAAAGUGGCUUAGAAAACAAGGAGUCUUGAUCUAAAAUAGCCUCAUGACAUUAGAGCUAUUUUUCCUGGUAUUUGUUUUUCCCAGAUAAGGCCUAGGUGCAUUUCAGGAAUCCAGGGUUGAACAAGUGAUGCGUUUUAUAAGGGCAGUUCAUCUGAUCUUGAUUCCAUGUUACAUUCACAGCACCGUUUCAGGAAGCCAUAGCAAAAGGAGACUGAGGAAGCUUCAGGUUUCCAUUCUGCCUUCUGUUACCAUUUCUCAUUCACCAUUUUGGCUUUGUAGACUUGAUUGUUUCCUCUCUUCAUCACUCUUCCCAUCAUAAAUCUGUAGCAGGAGGCUCUCUAGAGGUAGAAAAGACGUCUUUGACUACAAUGAUGGUGACAUAAACUAGUUUGUUAAUGGAAACCUGUUGUCAGUUCUGAGCAAUAGCCUAUACUGAGUAUCAGAAGAGGGUGCCACCUGAAAGAAGAAAAUACUCAGUUUAUUGAAAAAUGGCUGUUUUCUCUGACUACCUUCAGUACAUUAUUGUUCUUUCAUAUGCCUGUUUUGCAGUGAUCAUACGUAAGAUAUUGCUUAUCAACUGUCUCUUCUGCACAGUUUGCAAUGUUUAAUAUAAUAAGCUUUUGCCUAGCGAAAUUGAUCCAUGGUUGAGUAUGCACUUUACUGCUAAACACUUAUUUACAAUAAAACUCAGGGGAAAAAUAGUGCAAAACAAACAAACAAACAAAAACCUCAAACGUGACAGGCAAACAAAAUGAUGAAGACAGACACAUAUUAAAUUGCACGGUGUCAUUCUAUUUCACGUUAUACCUUUUUUCUACUGUUGAGGAAGAAUGAAAUUUUAGGUAAGAGUCCUAUGAAGCUCUACUUAUUAGAAUUUCCUAAUUCUCAAAUUACAGGAAAGUACUCAAAGUGUUUUAUUGUGACCUCCUCAGACUUUAGAAUAAAAGAUUGCUUAAAUCUGUUAUUUCUCUUUCUGUAAGGCAAGUGUGCUUCCAGUUGGAACAAGAGAUGGAACAGAAGAGCAGUGUCUGAGGCAGUCAGCCCAAAUAAAAAGAUGAACUGAACUAUGGAAAAAUUCCACACCACAACCUUAGUCCAGCCACCUAGGUAUACAAAUCUGAAUAAGAAGUGUGACUCCAGCUGCCCUGAGCUUUGCUGCUUUGAUUUCUUCAUCACUGAAUCUGACCCUGAGCCUGAAUUACUUCAACAAGAGUCCCAAAGGGAACAUUCAUACGGGAUUGAUCUUGUCAUUUCAGUCUUCUUGCUCUUUAUUGAAAGAAAGGAUAAAAAACCCCUUGCAUCCACACUCUUGCAAGAGAACAUCUUUCUGAAAAGGACCACAGAACACUGGCAACUGCUGAGAGAAAGCAUUAGUAGAAAGAAACAGAGUGAUUGUAAGAGGAACAGAGAAAAUAAUCUACUUACUAAUGUACACAGGAUGAACUACGGAAAGUUCAUGCAAGGAAGAAAAAAGUAAAAAACAAACAUGAAGAGCUAUACUUGCUUGUUUUUUGGUGAGAAAAAGGACAAAUGGAGAGGUGGUCUGUAAAAACAUAAUAAAUAGCAACUGCAGUUUCCCCAGUGUUUUUUUAUUUUGUCUGGAAUUACUUACAUGAGAUGAUCAUCAAUGUUAUUUGUUGAGGAAGCAUCUUCCAGUGUCCUGGUGGAUGAAAAGAUGAACAUGAGCCAGCAUUAUGAUCUUGCCGCCCUGAAGGUCGACUGUAUCCUUGUCUGCAUCAGAAGAGGGGUGGCCAGCAGGGAAACAAAGGUGAUUGUCCUCUUCUACUCUGCCUUUGUGAUACCCCCAUGUGGAUUACUUCAUUGCUGCCUUUGAGUAUUUGAAGAGAACUUACAAAGAGGAGAGAGACUGACUUCUUACGUGGUCUGAUAAUGUUGGGGGAGCUUAUCAAUGUUUAUAAAUGUAUAAAGGGUGGGUGUCAAAUAGAUGGAGUCAGGCUUUUUCCAGUGGUUCCCAGCAACAAGACAAGGGGCAAUAGGCACAAGCUAGAACAUAGGAAGUUCCAUACAAAUGUGUGGAAAAGCUUCAUUACAUUGUGGGUGUCAGAGCACUGAAACGUUGCCCACAGAGGCUGUGAAGUCUCCUUCUCCAAAGUUAUUCAUCUGGACACUUUCCUGUGCAACCUGAUGUAGGGAACUGCUUAAGGUGGGGGCUGGAAUGGAUGAGUUCCAACAGGUCCCUUGAGCCCCUACAAUUCUGUGAUUCUGCAAUUCUGUGACUUUCAACCUUUCAUCCAUUCAACACAUUGGAUCCUGAAGGUUUUGUUUAUAAUUAUUUUUUUUUCAUUAGAAGACUUGUAAGUAUUUUGAAUGUUAACAAGUAUAGAUGGUCUUAUGCAUGGCAAAACUUAAUACUUUAGCCCUUAUCAUAAAAUUAGGAAAUAUUUGCUGUUCUGAUUUCUGUUUUCCUUAUGAAUCACCUUAUAUUCUCUACUUGCAAUAACUCAGUAAGUAAGACAUUUGAUUCUGCUGUUAACAAUAGGGCUUAAAGGGUGCAUCUCUGCUUUUUUAACUGGUACAAGAUACAGGGCUUGAUACAACAUUCAUUAUAUAGUUUUUCUGAUUUCAGUAGAUUUUGGAGCCUGCCUUAAGUGAGCUUUACAUUUCUGAUUCACUCAGGAAAUUAGCCCCCAAACCUCAUGACAAGACAUGACCUCAUCCUUAUAAAGAAGAUUGGACGAUUUGUUCCAGUAAUGGGUAUAAUGGCAAAAAGCCAAGGAGGAUGGGGAUGUGUGUAAAAAUCUUGUCUGUUAUUUCUGUCAACCCAGGAAUAAUGUAAGCUUUGUACAACAUACAAGGCAUCACUAAGAACCUUUGCGUAAGUUGUUAAAGAUGAACUCUGCCCCCUGCAAUACUCAGACAAUUCUUACUGAGAUCAGUAAGUCUGGUCCAUGUGUGUCUGAAUUUAAAAUUUCUUCUAGACAAUAUUGUUUUGUAAUGAUUUCUUUCCAGUGAAUGCUCUCUCAAAUUAUUUCCCUUUCAGCUGAUUGAAUGAGAUGAUUUUUCCUUAGUUCUUCCUUAUUGUUACUUCAGUUUCUCAAGUGAAGUUUCAGAUAGUGAGCUCUUUCAGACCCUUCCACUUUGGGUCAAGUGCUGUCUUUUACUAUUCAUUUCGUGCUCAGAGGUGUAUUCUUAGACCCACAGUGUUAAGUAUUCUUAAUGUUAAAAAAAAGGCAAAUCGUUAUAACAUGAGGGUUUUGUCAAUAAAAUACAUCUGUGGGUAAGAACCGGGUACCUUCUGAUUCAUUUAGAAGCCUUCACUCUACUUUGUUAUACUCAGCCUAAAGUCACAGACUUCCCAUUUACAGAUACUGAUCACCAAC